rnacentral:rRNA from 1 species
GACGAACGCUGGCGGCGCGCCUAACACAUGCAAGUCGAACGAGCGAGAGAGAGCUUGCUUUCUCGAGCGAGUGGCGAACGGGUGAGUAACGCGUGAGGAGCCUGCCUCAAAGAGGGGGACAACAGUUGGAAACGACUGCUAAUACCGCAUAAGCCCACGGCUCGGCAUCGAGCAGGGGGAAAAGGAGCAAUCCGCUUUGAGAUGGCCUCGCGUCCGAUUAGCUAGUUGGUGGGGUAACGGCCCACCAAGGCGACGAUCGGUAGCCGGACUGAGAGGUUGAACGGCCACAUUGGGACUGAGACACGGCCCAGACUCCUACGGGAGGCAGCAGUGGGGAAUAUUGCACAAUGGGGGAAACCCUGAUGCAGCGACGCCGCGUGGAGGAAGAAGGUCUUCGGAUUGUAAACUCCUGUUGUUGGGGAAGAUAAUGACGGUACCCAACAAGGAAGUGACGGCUAACUACGUG